UACAGAGGUGGCAAGCGUUGUUCGGAAUUACUGGGCGUAAAGGGCGCGUAGGGGGUCUUGCAAGUCCUGUGUGAAAUCCCUCGGCUCAACUGAGGAACUGCACAGGAAACUGCUUGGCUUGAGUUCGGGAGAGGGAAGCGGAAUUCCGGGUGUAGUGGUGAAAUGCGUAGAUAUCCGGAGGAACACCAGUGGCGAAGGCGACUUUCUGGCCUGUUCUUGACGCUGAGGCGCGAAAGCUAGGGGAGCAAACGGG
rnacentral:rRNA from 1 species